UGGGGAAUAUUGGGCAAUGGGCGAAAGCCUGACCCAGCAACGCCGCGUGAAGGAAGAAGGUUUUCGGAUUGUAAACUUCUGUCCUCAGGGAAGAAACAAAUGACGGUACCUGAGGAGGAAGCCCCGGCUAACUACGUGCCAGCAGCCGCGGUAAUACGUAGGGGGCAAGCGUUGUCCGGAAUGACUGGGCGUAAAGGGCGCGUAGACGGUUGUCUAAGUCUGGAGUGAAAGUCCUGCUUUUAAGGUGGGAAUUGCUUUGGAGACUGGAUGACUUGAGUGCGGAAGAGGUAAGUUGAAUUCCCAGUGUAGCGGUGAAAUGCGUAGAGAUUGGGAAGAACACCAGUGGCGAAGGCGACUCACCAGAACGGACCUGACGGCAAGGGACGAAAGCUAGGGGCACGAACC
rnacentral:rRNA from 1 species